UUUAAAUAGAGGAAGAUAACUUAUUAAAUAAAGCUGGAGACGGGAGGGAGAGUCAAUAGGGAAAAAAAAGUCUGUAGAAGGAGAAGCAGACACUGGGAGAGAAUGAAGGCAUGAACAUAGGUGGCCUGAGUAUUUCCUUACAAUGGAGAUUCCAAGUGAAAGCUCAGAGGAUGAGGCCACAGGGGUGGAGUAAUUUUCUUUGGUUAGAAGGUCUCAAGAUGAAGCCUCAGGGUAAGAAGGCUACUUCAGCCCAAUAAGGAAAUAAAAUCCAGAGUCAGAAAUAGGACCCAGAGAAGAAUGAAGGAGUGAAGGAGAAAUGAGAAAACCAGAAGGCUAUUACAACAGUCCAGGUCUGAGUUGAUGUGAGCCUACACUGGAGUGGUGGCAACAGAGAGCAUGAGGAGGUUUCAAUGAAGGCACCAAGACUAUGAGAAAGCUGAAACCAUUCUGCUACAGUAUCAUCUGAAUCUGCUGCAUUUUAUCUUAAGUCCACAGAAUGAUGACCUGAAGAUAAAGAAGCUGGUUAUCACAGAAGCACAACUUUUUAAUAUUGAUAAUUUCCCAGCGAUGCUGUAUGACUGCAAGGAUGGAAGAAGGCAACUCAACUUCAGGUUGCUGAAGGAAGUCUUACUUCUUGACACUGGAAGCAACUCGAAACUUGAAGAAGGCACCAAAGAAGAAUGAAGAAGGCUGUGGCUCUUUUGCUCUCGCCAAGUCUCACUCUCCCCUCAUGCAAGGCAAGACAUCCAUCUCCACCAAUGAGGAGAGAAUCUUAUGGCAUUGGUCUUUGUGACUAGAAUUAUGACUAGAAAAGGAGGUGGGCUGGCCCUUUAGUAAGAGAGCAAGUUAACAAAUAAAUGAGGACUGGACUCAUUGGUAUUCACAAAUUGUUGAAAGAACCAGAAGAAGGCAUCUAAUCCCUGGGACACAUUCUAUUUGAAAGAAUUCGAGAAAAAGCAAGGAUAAGAGUCACUUAGAAUUGGUGUGGAAAGGCUGUGAUCAGCAGCAAUGGAGCAAGGGCACACAGAGAGGAAGAAAGAGAGGAAGAAGAAGUUUAACUAUUCUAACACAAACAAGGUUAAGGCUUUUCUUCCUUUCAGGAAGUCUUUACAUGUCAACUAAUUAGUUGAUAAUUGGUUACUAAUUAGUCAACUAAUUUGGUAACAUAAUAGUCUAGGAAAUCCAAGUUCUGGUCUUAAUUUUCCAUCUGUUUCAGAUAUUAAACACCUUCUGUUUCCUAAUUGAACAAAAGGACACAAUAUAUUUUUCAGAGCCAUCUAUUAUUAUGUGGAUUUGUAAAACUAAAACAUUAUCUUUAAAAAUGUAUUUUCCUAAUAAAUAUUUAUUUUUCAAAACAAACAGCCAGUAGGUUUUUUUGUUUUUGUUUUUGUUUUUAGUAACCUGAAUCUGUAUUGAAUGGACAUUUAUGCCAUGCAUUAUUCAAAGCAUAGU